rnacentral:rRNA from 1 species
UAGGGAAUAUUGGACAAUGGGCGAAAGCCUGAUCCAGCAACGCCGCGUGCGCGAUGACGGCCUUCGGGUUGUAAAGCGCUUUUAGGAGAGAUGAGAAAGGACAGUAUCUCCAGAAUAAGCCUCGGCGAACUACGUGCCAGCAGCCGCGGUAAAACGUAGGAGGCAAGCGUUAUCCGGAUUUAUUGGGCGUAAAGCGUGUGCAGGCGGUUUAGCAAGUUGGAUGUGAAAGCUCCCGGCUUAACUGGGAGAGGUCGUUCAAAACUGCUAGACUAGAGAAUGGAAGAGGGAGUGGAAUUCCGGGUGUAGUGGUGAAAUGCGUAGAUAUCCGGAGGAACACCAGUGGCGAAAGCGGCCUCCUAGGCCAUUUCUGACGCUAAGACACGAAAGCUAGGGUAGCAAA